CGGCUGUUCGCCGAUUAAAGUGGCACGUGAACUGGGUUCAGAACGUCGCAAGACAGUUCGGUCCCUAUCUGUGGUGGGCGCUAGUAAAUUGAGUGGACAUGUCCUUAGUACGAGAGGACCGGGACGUACGUGCCGCUGGUGUAUCUGUUGUGCCGCCAGGUGCAAUGCAGAGUAGCUACGCACGGCAAGGAUAAACGCUGAAAGCAUCUAAGCGUGAAACCUUCCACAAGAUGAGUU
rnacentral:rRNA from 15 species